rnacentral:piRNA from 1 species
UAUAGAGAUCGGCCGAGGAGAAAGG